ensembl:lncRNA
AAGAAAAUUAAAGCGACCAACGGAAAAACGGGAGUAGCUCUUUCCACCAGUGAACAGCAGUGCGAACCAGUGCGGCGGAGCCCGAGGACCACGCGCUGCCCUAACCGCGAUCGAAGCCUCUCCCCCAUCCCCCAGCCCUCUCUCCCACGAAAGGGACCACUUUUUCGUGCCAUCCUAGGGGGCGACAACAUAUCGAGACGCCAAAUCCGGGAAGACGGUGAACAGCAAGGACGGCCGGAACUCACGGCCUACCAGAUGGUGGCGCAGGGCAGCUCCGCGGGAGGGAGAGGUGCAGCCCCUGGGAUAUACUGUCAAAUACAAACUUCUCCGGAAUUUGGCAAUCUCUGCGUCCGCCGCCGCCCCCGGAGGCCUGGCAGCAGCUGCACUGCGACCCGCCGUCUCCACCUGCGCGCAAGGCUGAAGCCGGCCGCUCCCGAGCGCCCCUGCCUGGCCCGAGUGCGCAUCCGUAGGGCCACAGUGCGACCCAGCGGGCCUCCGGGGAAACUGCGCCCGACGGUCGCCCCGGCAACCGGUGGGGCAAGGACCGGGAGAGUUACCGCCUCCCGCUAUAACAGUCUCAAGAAAAGAGGAUGUGGAAGAAUAGUCUCUUUCCUACUUUGUAAACGGAGGGAGGCGAUCUGUUUGCCAAGACACUUACUAAACUCACAGGUAGUUCUUACUGCAUUCAGCCUCUGGGUGAAAAUCGACUCGCCGGAAAGUUCUGGUUUGAGAUGCCUGCAGUGUUUUAUUCAGAAUUCUAGACAACUGGUCAUUUAUGAAGUCCAAGGAAAGAACUAUUAAUUUUCAUCUGAAGAAUGACCCUUAUGUUCUAGUAAAAUCUAUGGCUAGUAGAACUGACUAUAUGCAGGCUCGACCACAAUGCCACCUCCUUCUUGAAAUCCACCCCUGGGCAAUAUCUGCAAAGCGCAAUAAAAUGAGGUGUGCCUAUGGUUUCUGAGGACUGCCAUAACAAAUUGCCACCAACUGGGCAGGUUAAAACAACAGAAAUAUAUUCCCACGGAGUUCUGGAGACCAGGAGUCUGCAAUCAAGCUAUCUGCUCUUCCUCUAGAGGUUCUGGCGGCAAGUCCUUCUGGCCCCCAGUUUCCAGUAGCCAUUGGCAUCCUCAGCUCUCCUGGUUUGCAGCCACAUCCCUCCAAACUGCCUCAGUUUUCACAUCGUCUCUCUUCUCUACCUGUCUUCUCUUAUGUACGUCGCAAAUUCCCCUCUAUGUUUCUCUUAUAUGGACCUAUCAUUGGAUUUAGGACCCACUCCUAUAAUUCAGAGUGAUCUGUUCUUGAGAUCCUUAAUUUAGUUACAAUUGUAAAGACUCUUUUUCCAAAUAAAGUAACAUUCACCAUUUCCAGGCA